UUUAGUAGGAAGAGUUUGUCACCUUCUUGUUUUAAUAAGGAAGAAGAAGAAGGAGAAGAAGAAGAAGAAGAAGAAGCCUUAUGGCACAAACCUAAAUUGGUAGAAUUAAGGAAGUUUUUAGUUCCCCUGCUAAUUCACAGAUAUAUAGAAAGCCUGCAUUUUUCAACCACCUUUGGCAAUUUGCUUCCAGUAGUUCAACAACUCCCCUGUGGACACCUUUACAGCUCAUCGCUGGAUGUUGUACAGAGGGCGACGCUCAGAAGAAAUGGUGAGCGAAGACGAUUACGAAAUCUGAAUACUGCCACAGGAGUUACAGAGUGUGGACAUCAACCUGCAGUCAUUCUGGUCAAACUGAUGUUCGGCAGAGGAGGAGUGCAACACUUCCUGUUGCGACGUACUCUGUAUCCUGUUUUCCACAGUCAGUGGUCAUGCGUGUCAUUCCCCUUCUGCAAGGCUGUGAGGGCACAAUCUCAUGACCUUAGGCUACGAAUCUUCUGAGACUGAAUAGAGGGAGACUCCAAAAAAACUCUGAAUGUCAGCAAAACAAUAUGUAAAAUAGCAAAAUAAAUGCAUCAAGGUCUGUUGGGAAAUGUCUAUGACUUCAGUUGAGCUUGCUAAAAGUUAAUUGGACCAAACUACAGUGAAGAAUGAAUGUAUUUCACUGUGUAAUCCCUGUGUUUUGAAGUGUUGAGUAAGCUGUCACAGUACCAGUAACAGUACAAUUUGAUAACUAUCAGGCUGCUUCCUUCAAAAUAUAUCUGGCCUCUUAAAAUAAGUAAAUACAAAGAUAGUGAUGAGAACAUUGACACCUCCACACGACAAGGCCAAAAACUCCAGGGGCCAAACUAUGUGACUGAGAAUUAAGAGGUGCCAAUGUAACUGUUUGUGUGCUUGUGUGAGCUUUAACCAUCAGAGAUAUGUAUCUUGUGACUGCAUUCAGACGGAAAACUGUGAAGUACUCAGUUACACCCUACAAACCAGAAAGCAGCAUUCGGUCAGAGCUACUGCAGGUCACAAGUAUGUAACUUCACAGUCACUUACACUAGAAAAUAAAUAUGACAAUGUUCUCAACUUUAGUUUAUACAGUACCUAUAUCUCACUGGACAGGUUUAUAUAGAGUGAAAGUAGCCCAUUCACUUACAACUGGUGGACACAAUAACAUAACAGAACACGUGUGCAGUGUAAGGAAAUCCAAUGCAUUUGCCCUUUAAUAGUUUGUCAGGCCAUAGUUUGUGUUUUUUUGUAUUGGCUUAUUAUUAUUUUGCAUUGGUUAGCUUAGCUUAGCACAAAGACUUGAAAUAGGGGAAACAGCUUGCCUGUUCAAAGGUGACAAAAUUUGUCCACCAGCACCUCCAAACCUCACUAUAUCUUGUUUUGUGCCUGGCCAAGAAAUAGUCUUGCACAUAACCCCCUGUAAAACCACAAUGGGCUGUUUUUACACUUCAAAUUGAACAAAUGAGAUAUAACAUGUUGAUUAGUGAGCUUCAGAGGUGUUGGUAGGUGGAUUUUUUCUACCUUUAGACAGAGCCAGGCUCGCUAUUUCCUCCCUGUGUCCAGUCUUUGUGCUAAUCUAAGCUAACCAUCUGCUAACUGUAGCUUCUGUACUGAAAUGAGAUUGGUAUCAGUCUUCCCAUCUCAACUCUUGGCAAGAAAGUGGAGUAUAUUUUCAGAAAUGUCAAACUAUUCCUUUAAAGGUCCAAAUCCUACACGCUGGUCCUUAAGGAAAUGUACCGUAUGUAUUAUUAGCAAAAUGUAGUUAAAUUAUCAAAACUAAAAGUACUCAAAGCAGAAAAAUGGCCAUUACUGAUUACUAAUGCUUUAAUGUGUACAGUGACUAGCAUUGUAGUUGAUCAAAGCAGAGCCAGUAAUAAUCAGUAUUCUAUAUAUUCUUGUUAUCUAUAUUGCAAUGCAUCAUAUUUUACAAGCUCAUUUUGUUUCUAAAAUGUUAAUUUGUAAAGAACCCUGUAAAACUGAAGACUAAAUGUAGAGUACAGUAUUACCCUCUGAAUUGUUGUGAAGUACAAAGACAUCUAAUGGAAAAUAUGCAAGUAGCUAAGUAAGUAAAGUACCUCAGACUUGUAUCUAAGUGCAGUGCUAGAGUAAAUGUACCUAGACUUAAUGUUAAAACUGCACAGCUUAUUUUAUAUUGUGAGCUGUGAACCACUGAGGGUGAACAAAUAACAGAGUUGAUAUGAAUCAGCACAUUUCUGACAAAGACUUAGCUAAAACUGGACAAUGAGUAAGUGUCACAUGCUCUGAAUGGCUUUUGUAUGGGCAUUCAAUACAUUUGACAUGUUUUUAUUAUGUCCACCACUGUAUUAUGAAUGCAAAAGUGUAGUCCUUCUUCCAUGGCUGAAGGAGUCUGAAAAUCUGCCAGUGGUGCUUACAUUACACUCCCAGGCCAAUUCCUUGGGUCCACCUAUAAACUCUAAUACGAGCCAACCUAUCAGCCAGAAUUUCUUCCUUUAUGAUGUUAUAAUGCUGUUUUAUUUCUCAGAAAGGUGUUAACUCAAUCAUAUGUUUAUGACUGAGAUCCCAGUUUGCAGUGGCAUCGGAUUGGACUGUAUUAUGUUAAAAUGUGUCUUUAGAAACACCUCUCAUGGGGCGCCCUAUAGCUCCCCUAAAGCUGGCGCCCCUCAUUGAAUACCAGUAUGUUGGUACUGAAUGGCAGAUCUGCUGAACUCAGAUCAGUUUGAGAUUUUUAUCUAAAAAAGGCAAAAAGCUCAAAGAAAUAUUUUUAAAAAAGACCACUGCCAGCUACAAUCUCAAUAAUAAACAUAAAGUUGAACAUUAUCUUUGUCAAAAUAGAUUGCAUUAGGUUUUAGAGAAAUAACAGUAAUAUAGUCACUGUAAAAUUAUACACAUGACUAAUGGAAAACUUUGGGAAAAACAAUGAAGGGCAUGUGAUCAUGGUAAUGGUGUUUAUGGUCUUUUUACAAUGUUGCAAUCUGCCUGCAGAAUGUGAAAAAAGUCAAAGGCUUAACUAAACAUACUUCUGGGUUAAAGUGAACCAGUUGCAUUUAUUUAAUUAUUUGUCAAUAAGAAAUAAAAAAACAAGAUGGUUAAUGA